rnacentral:misc_RNA from 1 species
AGAAGACACUUCGUGUCAGGCACUCUUCCCUAGCCAUCUCCCUCCUUCAAGAUGACGAAGACCAACGGUCAGAACGCAGCUCGUAAGCUGGUGCGCCUGCGCUGCCGCAACCGCUGGGCCGACAAGGGCUGGAAGCGCGCGCACACCUUCUCGGCCAGGAAGGCGAACCCUUUCGGCGGGUCGUCGCACGCCAAGGGCAUCGUGCUGGAGAAGAUCGGCGUCGGCGCCAAGCAGCCUAACUCCGCCAUUCGUAAGUGUGUGCGUGUGCAGCUGAUCAAGAACGACAAGAAGAUCAUCGCGUUCGUGCCGAACGAUGGCUGCCUUCACUUCAUCGAGGAGAACGACGAGGUGCUGGUGUCUGGUUUCGGCCGUUCUGGCCACGCCGUCGGUGAUAUUCCCGGCGUCCGCUUCAAGAUCGUGAAGGUGUCGAACGUCGGCCUGUACGCCCUGUACCGGCAGAAGAAGGAGAAGCCGCGUAACUAGAAAACUAGGGACGCAUGCUGCCUCUCUCUCUCUGUCCCUGUCUGUGCCUGUGUCACUGGCACAUGCGAGAGGAGGACGACGAACGGCCGGGAGCGUGCACGCGGCCGCGUUGUGGUCUCGCGUGCUUUGAUGUGCGCGCGUGCUCGAGCAAGAGUUAUGCAGGUGAAUCUCUCUAUGUCUGCCUGUCGGUGUGCCGGUGGAAUGGCGGAGGGGGGCACGUCUGCCCUUCACACAUCUCCGCCGACACCGCACCUUCUCCGACUUCUGUCUUUAUUCGUUUUUUUUUUUCGGUAAUGAUGAUUUUCGUUUCGGCGUAAACAACCAAAAACUGAAGCUGCGCACACGGCACGCAGCGUUGCCUCGUCAGAGCCGCAUGGGGUUAGCCAGCACGGUGAGGAGGAGCAGCGCGCGCACCCGUUCUCUUUGGGCCACUGCACCCCUGUAUCGCUCUGGAGUCUCUUUCUUUUCUGUGGCCCUCGACACAGGAGGGUGCAGAGGGGGGGGGGCUGUGUCUGGUUGCCUAGGCAUCACCUCCUCCACUUCCAGCGCACGGCGUGUGUGCGUGUGUGUGUGUGGGGUGCUAGCGCCAUGCAGGGAGUUCUGCUGGUGAGACUUGCCCACGUUCUGCCUCUCCUUGUCUCCUGAAAUCUUCAACAACGCACUCACUCAUCGCCUCUCUUUCCUAUGCCCUUUGCCUCUCGUGCUUCUUCUUUCGCUCACCUGCACGCGCGUCAUGUCUGCGGCCUGGCCUCCCCGACUUGCGCCGCUCUCGGCACGCACGCCUUCUCAUGUUCACACACAUAUCAUUCUGCAACUCCACCGAUAAACGCCUACACAACCUCCUCCCUUCCUCCAACGCGACAG